UACGUAGGGUGCGAGCGUUGUCCGGAAUUAUUGGGCGUAAAGGGUGCGCAGGCGGCCAAGUGUGUCAGGUGUGAAAUCCCGAGGCUUAACCUCGGAACUGCGCCUGAAACUACUUGGCUAGAGUACUGGAGAGGGUAACGGAAUUCACGGUGUAGCAGUGAAAUGCGUAGAUAUCGUGAGGAACACCAGAGGCGAAGGCGGUUACCUGGACAGUUACUGACGCUCAGGCACGAAAGCGUGGGGAGCAAAAGGG
rnacentral:rRNA from 1 species